rnacentral:rRNA from 1 species
CCGCCUGCCCAGUGACAAUAUGGUUCAACGGCCGCGGUAUUUUGACCGUGCAAAGGUAGCGUAAUCACUUGUCUUUUAAAUGAAGACCUGUAUGAAUGGCAUAACGAGGGCUUAACUGUCUCCUCUUUCCAGUCAAUGAAAUUGAUCUCCCCGUGCAGAAGCGGGGAUAUUUACAUAAGACGAGAAGACCCUAUGGAGCUUUAGACACCAAGACAGCCCAUGUUAAAUACCCCGAAUAUAACAGUCCAAACUUAAUGGCCUCCUGUCCUAAUGUCUUCGGUUGGGGCGACCAUGGGGUAGCACAAAACCCCCAUGCGGAAUAGGAGGACAACCCACUAUCUUCCCCCUCCUCCCACAAGCAAGAGUUACAACUCUAACUAACAGAAUCUCUGACCUUACAUGAUCCGGCUUCCGCCGAUCAACGGACCAAGUUACCCUAGGGAUAACAGCGCAAUCCCCUUUUAGAGCCCAUAUCGACAAGGGGGUUUACGACCUCGAUGUUGGAUCAGGA